rnacentral:rRNA from 1 species
UAGUCCACGCCGUAAACGAUGUCUACUAGCCGUUGGGAGACUUGAUCUUUUAGUGGCGAAGCUAACGCGAUAAGUAGACCGCCUGGGGAGUACGGCCGCAAGGUUAAAACUCAAAUGAAUUGACGGGGGCCCGCACAAGCGGUGGAGCAUGUGGUUUAAUUCGAAGUCUAACGCGAAGAACCUUACCAACGUCUUGACAUCCAGAGAACUUGCUAGAGAUAGCUUGGUGCCUUCGGGAACUCUGAGACAGGUGCUGCAUGGCUGUCGUCAGCUCGUGUUGUGAAAUGUUGGGUUAAGUCCCGUAACGAGCGCAACCCUUGUCCUUAUUUGCCAGCACAUAAUGGUGGGAACUCUAAGGAGACUGCCGGUGACAAACCGGNGGAAGGUGGGGACGACGUCAAGUCAUCAUGGCCCUUACGAGUUGGGCUACACACGUGCUACAAUGGCCGGUACAGAGGGCUGCAAACCUGCGAAAGGUAACGCUAAUCUCACUAAAACCGGUCGUAGUCCGGAUUGGAGUCUGCAAC